CAGUACCGUGAGGGAAAGGUGAAAAGAACCCCGGGAGGGGAGUGAAAUAGAACCUGAAACCGUGUGCCUACAACCGAUCGGAGCACGUUAAAGUGUGACGAUGUGCUUUUUGUAGAACGAGCCAGCGAGUUACGCUAUGUAGCAAGGUUAAGUACUUAAGGUAUGGAGCCGAAGGGAAACCGAGUCUGAAAAGGGCGAAAAGUUGCAUGGUGUAGACCCGAAACCGGGUGACCUAUCCAUGGCCAGGUUGAAGCGAGAGUAAAAUCUCGUGGAGGACCGAACCACGUUGGUGUUGAAAAACCAUGGGAUGAGCUGUGGAUAGCGGAGAAAUUCCAAUCGAACUCGGAGAUAGCUGGUUCUCCCCGAAAUAGCUUUAGGGCUAGCGUCGUGUAAUUGAGUAAUGGAGGUAGAGCACUGAAUGGGCUAGGGGCUAUAGUAGUUACCGAACCCUAUCAAACUCCGAAUGCCAUAUACUUGUAUCACGGCAGUCAGACUGCGAAUGAUAAGAUCCGUAGUCAAAAGGGAAACAGCCCAGACCAUCAGCUAAGGUCCCAAAGUGUAAGUUAAGUGGAAAAGGAUGUGGGAUUUCUAAGACAACUAGGAUGUUGGCUUAGAAGCAGCCACUCAUUUAAAGAGUGCGUAAUAGCUCACUAGUCAAGAGAUCCUGCGCCGAAGAUGUCCGGGGCUCAAACUUACCACCGAAGCUAUGGGUGUACACUAUGUGUACGCGGUAGGGGAGCUUUCUGUAUGGGUUGAAGUCGUACCGUAAGGAGUGGUGGACUGUACAGAAGUGAGAAUGCUGGCAUAAGUAGCGAGAAAUAAGUGAGAAUCUUAUUGGCCGAAAACCUAAGGUUUCCUGGGGAAGGCUCGUCCGCCCAGGGUUAGUCGGGACCUAAGCCGAGGCCGAAAGGCGUAGGUGAUGGACAAUCGGUUGAUAUUCCGAUACCACCUAUUUACGUUUGAGAGAUGGGGUGACGCAGUAGGAUAAGAUGUGCGCACUAUUGGAUGUGCGUCUAAGCAUUUAGGCAUGCUUGAUAGGCAAAUCCGUCAGGCUAAGCUGAGAUGUUAUGGGGAGCCAAAUGUGGCGAAGUAUCUGAUUCCACACUGCCAAGAAAAGCCUCUAUCGAGUAAAUAGGUGCCCGUACCGCAAACCGACACAGGUAGGUGAGGAGAGAAUCCUAAGGCCAUCGGAAGAAUUGCUGUUAAGGAACUCGGCAAAUUGACCCCGUAACUUCGGGAGAAGGGGUGCCUACGAAAGUAGGCCGCAGAGAAUAGGCCCAAGCAACUGUUUAGCAAAAACACAGGUCUCUGCUAAAGCGAAAGCUGAUGUAUAGGGCUGACGCCUGCCCGGUGCUGGAAGGUUAAGGGGAACACUUAGCGUAAGCGAAGGUGUGAACUUAAGCCCCAGUAAACGGCGGCCGUAACUAUAACGGUCCUAAGGUAGCGAAAUUCCUUGUCGGGUAAGUUCCGACCCGCACGAAUGGCGUAAUGAUUUGGGCACUGUCUCAACAGCAAAUCCGGCGAAAUUGUAGUGCAAGUGAAGAUGCUUGCUACCCGCGAUUGGACGGAAAGACCCCGUAGAGCUUUACUGUAGCUUAGCAUUGAAUCUCGGUAUUGUCUGUACAGGAUAGGUGGGAGACUUGGAAGCUUGGGCGUCAGCCUGAGUGGAGUCAUCCUUGGGAUACCACCCUGACAGUACUGGGGUUCUAACCGGAGGCCAUGAAUCUGGUCACGGGACAUUGUUAGGUGGGCAGUUUGACUGGGGCGGUCGCCUCCUAAAAAGUAACGGAGGCGCCCAAAAGUUCCCUCAGCGCGGUCGGAAAUCGCGCGAAGAGUGCAAAGGCAGAAGGGAGCUUGACUGCGACACAUACAGGUGGAGCAGGGACGAAAGUCGGGCUUAGUGAUCCGGUGGUACCUCGUGGGAGGGCCAUCGCUCAACGGAUAAAAGCUACCUCGGGGAUAACAGGCUGAUCUCCCCCAAGAGUCCACAUCGACGGGGAGGUUUGGCACCUCGAUGUCGGCUCGUCGCAUCCUGGGGCUGAAGUAGGUCCCAAGGGUUGGGCUGUUCGCCCAUUAAAGCGGCACGCGAGCUGGGUUCAGAACGUCGUGAGACAGUUCGGUCCCUAUCCGUCGCGGGCGUAGGAAAUUUGAGAGGAGCUGUCCUUAGUACGAGAGGACCGGGAUGGACCAACCUCUGGUGCACCAGUUGUCACGCCAGUGGCACAGCUGGGUAGCUAUGUUGGGACUGGAUAAACGCUGAAAGCAUCUAAGCGUGAAGCCAACCUCAAGAUGAGAUUUCCCAUAGCGUAAGCUAGUAAGACUCCUGGAAGAACACCAGGUUGAUAGGUCAGAGAUGUAAGCAUGGUAACAUGUUAAGUUGACUGAUACUAAUAAGUCGAGGGCUUGACCAA
rnacentral:rRNA from 1 species